UGAAUACGAGAUGCUACGGCGUCGAAGCAGUCUAUGUCAUACUUCCAAGAAAAGCUCGCACUGUCAUAAACAAAUAAUGCCUGUACCAUAACCGACACAGGUGGGUAGGUAGAGUAUACUAAGGGGCGCGAGAUAACUCUCUCUAAGGAACUCGGCAAAAUGACUCCGUAACUUCGGGAGAAGGAGUGCCUUAUUUAUAAGGUUGCAAUAACAAGAUCCAAGCAACUGUUUAUCAAAAACACAGGUCUCCGCUAAGUCGUAAGACGAUGUAUGGGGGCUGACGCCUGCCCAGUGCCAGAAGGUUAAAGAAGUUGGUUAGCAUUCGCGAAGCUGAUAACUGAAGCCCUGGUGAACGGCGGCCGUAACAAUAACGGUCCUAAGGUAGCGAAAUUCCUUGUCGGGUAAGUUCCGACCCGCACGAAAGGCGUAAUGAUUUGGAUACUGUCUCGGAGAGGGGCUCGGUGAAAUAGACUUGUCUGUGAAGAUGCGGACUACCUGCACCAGGACAGAAAGACCCUAUGAAGCUUUACUGUAACUUGAGAUUGAAAUUGGACUUUACUUGCGCAGUAUAGGUGGGAGGCGUUGAUAAUAUUCUUGCGGGAUUAUUUGAGCCAUCAGUGAGAUACCACUCUUGUAAUGUUAGAUUUCUAACUUUGUAUCAUUAUCUGGUCAAAGGAUAGUUUCAGGCGGGCAGUUUGACUGGGGCGGUCGCCUCCUAAACGGUAACGGAGGCGCACAAAGGUUUCCUCUGAACGGGUAGAAAUCGUAUCUAGAGUGUAAAGGCAUAAGGAAGCUUGACUGUGAGACCUACAAGUCGAGCAGGGACGAAAGUCGGUCUUAGUGAUCUGACGGUGCUGAGUGGAAAGGCCGUCACUCAACGGAUAAAAGUUACUCUAGGAUAACAGGCUGAUCUCCCCCAAGAGUUCACAUCGACGGGGAGGUUUGGCACCUCGAUGUCGGCUCAUCGCAUCCUGGGGCGGUAGUACGUCCCAAGGGUUGGGCUGUUCGCCCAUGAAAGCGGUACGCGAGCUGGGUUCAGAACGUCGUGAGACAGUUCGGUCCAUAUCCGGUGUAGGCGUUAGAAUAUUGAGAGGAGCCUUCUUUAGUACGAGAGGACCGAGAAGGACAUACCUCUGGUGUACCAGUUAUCGUGCCAACGGUAAACGCUGGGUAGCUAUGUAUGGAGUGGAUAACCGCUGAAAGCAUCUAAGUGGGAAGCCCACCUCAAGAUAAG
rnacentral:rRNA from 1 species